UCAAUCUUGCGUACUUUUUGA
ensembl:piRNA 21ur-2363 ncRNA